UUUGGUUUCCGUUUACACUUACUUACCAGUACAUUCUCAACCAAAUAUUUUGAAGAAAGAAGAUCGCAAGCAAAAGAGAGUUUUUACAUGUGAAUUUGAUGGCUGUGUUUGCUGAAAAAGAUGAAAAUGGCGCAGAUUGUAAGUGACCUUGUUGUUGCCCCUGUUGUGAAAUUUAUGGCAAGUCAUAUCACGAAACACCUAGGAUAUGUGUUUUGCUCCACAAAAUAUGUUACGAGCAUGAAAGAUAAAUUGAAAGAUUUGGUGGAUACAAGCACUGAAGUUAUAGAGCACAAGAACAGA
rnacentral:lncRNA from 1 species